rnacentral:RNase_P_RNA from 1 species
AGCAGGCCGAACGAUCGCGGGCAUGAGGCGAAAGCCUGUGCAUGAGGAAAGUCCGGGCUCCACAGGGCAAGGAUAACGGGUAACACCCGCCAGGGGCGACCCUCGGACAAGUGCAACAGAAAUAGACUUCCUGCGCUUCGGCGCAGGGGAUGGUGGAAAGGUGAGGUAAGAGCUCACCCGUCGCAUGGAGACAUGUGGACGCUGUAAACUCUAUCCGGAGCAACACCGCGGGAGAACAGGAGGCCGGCCCGGCCGUUCUCAGGAGGUGGCUUGAGUCUGCCGGCAACGGCAGACCUAGAUAGAUGAUCGUUCUCGACAGAACCCGGCUUACAGGCCUGCUCAU